rnacentral:lncRNA from 1 species
GGAACCUACAAGGUCCGCGAGGGCAAGGUGGUGCAGGUCUAUCGCCGCAAGUGGGUCAUCCACAUCGAGCCACGCGCGAGAAGGUGAACGGGCUCCACCGUCAACGUCGGCAUUCACCUUCAAAGGUUGUCGUCACGAAGUUGCGAAUGGACAAGGACCGUAAAUCCUUGCUCGAUCGCAAGGCUAAGGGCCACGCCGCCGCCGCCGCUGACAAGGAAAAGGGUACAAAAUUUGCCCGAGGAUAUCAUGCAGACGGUUGAUUAGUUUCGAUUUUCAUAGUGAUAAUAUUUUCUCACCUAAUAAAUUUUUACACACAUUACAUUCAUUAUUUUUUUACACCCACCUUACCUUCACUAUUUUUUUCCCUUCAUCUUUUUUUUUUUUAAAUGACCCAUAUUAUCUAAAAUGAGUUGUAUUUUUUAUGAGACCAUCGUAUUUUGGCACCCAAUUAAAUUUUUUAAAUUUUGUAGAGUAUCUUCCGAACAUCAUAUAUUUUUUAUAAAUCAUAUUAAUAUUAUGAAUAUAUUAUUAAAUUUCAAUCAUGUUUUUAUUAUAAAUUUGUUAUUUAUUAUUUAAAAUAUAAUAUUAUCAAAUAUUAGUAGUAUUUUUUAUUUUAUUAAAAAUUGAAUUACUUCUUCUAUCAUAAGAUGAAAAAAUUAAAAAAGUAAAAAUUUAUAUUCAUAAUAUUUAUAUAUUAUUUUAAAAUUUGUUUCUAAAUUGAAACUAUAAAUAUUUUGAUAAUUGUAUUUUUUUUUUUCAAAAGUACCAUCAUAACCAUUUAUAAAAAAAAACAUGUAAGUCACACUAAGUCAAAUAAUUAAAUAUAUAAAUAAAUAUGCAUUCCAUACUUUAUAUCAACAAUAUUCAUCCUAUUCACUUCCUAUCCACAAACAUAAUACAUUUCAACAACAUAAUAUUCAUGUAUAACAACUCAUUCCAUAUCAACAAGAUAAUAUUCAUGAAUUUCAAAUAAUAUACUAAUACAAAAAGGUAAUAAUAUAUUUACACUGUAAUAUCAAAUAUAAUUUUAUUUGCUAAUAGAAAAUGGUUGAAUCACUCAUAGUAAUUCUCAAUCUCAUUUUUUUACACAUAUACACCGUUUAAUUCAAGUAAAACAAAGAUAAAUAAAACAUUUUAUAAAUAAGAGUGGUUGGUCAAAUAAAUGGUUCUCAGUUAAUUGUCUUGGACUAUUCUUAUCCAAUUGACGCUUAAGGUCCUCAUAUCAUUGUUUGAGCAGCAUCAUAGAGCUGCAGUAUCCAAAUUUUUAGAGGAGAGAUAAAUUUGUGAUGAAAAUUUAUUAAAUUUUGUAAGAAAAAUUUUUAAAUUUUUUUAAAAAAAUAUAAAAUGUAAGUUUAUAAAUUUAUUCUUAUAUUUAAAAAUAAAAAUUUAAUUUAAUUAUUAUUAUGGUUAUACAAUUUUUUUAUAUUUUUAUUAUUAAUUUUAUAUUAAUAAUAAUAUUGUUAAAUAUUUUUAAAAAAAUAAAAGUAUUAUUAAUAUUACUAUUUAAUAAAUUUAUUUAAUCAUUAUUUUUAUUUGUAUUAAUAUAUAAUGAUUUUGUUUAUAUUAACUAUUUACAUAAAAUUUGCUAUCAAUAAGGAUAUUUUAGUAUUUAUGUACAUAUUGUAGCUUUUAGUGCAUUUCUUCGGUCGCUUUUACUUCCACACAAAUCCAUAAAUUCAAAUUAGUGUUUCUACCACAUCUUUUCAUGUUCGUGAACAGUUUUUUCAACCUUUGUGGUGGUUUAUCUCUCCCAACUUGUACAAUGAAAAUUACUUAACGAUAGCCAAUCAUUUGAAUAAGAUGAAAUAAGUCUUUUAUUUCAAUUUUACAAAAAAUAAGCUUUUUUGCAAUCUAAAACAAAUUUUAUUGCACGUUCUAUACUUAAAUCAUACUUUUUUUUAUUCAAUUAUAUUUAAAAUCAAACAUGUUAAAUAACAAAAUGUUAAAUUACUAAUUCCAGGUAUCACACAUAUAAAAAAUAAUUGAAAACAUAAAAUAAUUGAACUUUAAAAUCUCCAGUUGUAUACAUUUGUAUACCAUAUCAAUCUCACCAACCGAUAAUCAAUGUCAAAUAUACUUCUCAAUUACACACACAAAAAAUCGAAUUCAAUAACAACAUUACUAUAAAUUUAAAUUGAGAUGUUUAUCUUAGGAUUUGGUUAAUUAAGGUUUCACUUUCACAAUGAUGAAUAUAGUGUAAAGAAGUAAAUCAAGUUAAAUUCUCUCAACAUAAUGUAUUUACUCUUUAAAAAAAUUAUUCAAACACCAAAAAAGGUUAGAGGUUGAUUGACUAAACCCUUACAUGCAAAAGCAACCUUAGGAGACCAAAUAUUGUAAGGAGAAAACUUACUAAAAACAAAAAUAUAGCCAAAUCAAACUAUCUCAUGGUGCAUAUUACCUUUUAAUUUUGUACAUUCGAUGAAAGAAAUGAACGCAUAUAUAAACCUAUAAAAAUGUCAAAAAUUUUAUAGUCUAAAAAUUAAAUAUUUUAAAUAAAAGAAAAUAAAUUGAUUUCAUAUUAUAUAUAAUCUUUAUAAAUUUUAAACAAUAUUAUUUUGUUCAUUUAAUUUAAAAUUUGUAUUGUCUAAUUAUAAAAUAGUCCUUCUUUCGAAUUUGAAUAAACUACUACAUUAAUUUGAUAAGUUAUAGCGACUUUAAUUUAUAUAAUCAAAUAAUUAUAUAUAAAAACAAUUAUUUCAUGCAUUUACAAUUAUUAAAAUGUUUUCGACAGAUUUUUCUUACUUCUCAUUUCUCUAAUAAAGAUGAUCUUCUUUCUUUUAUUAAGAGUCAUGGUAGUCUUUGGUUAAAUUGAUUAAACUUGCUGUGACAACCUUUUCUAUAUGGAUGAUAUGGCGUAUGAGGAAUUAUGUUAGAUUUCAGGAUAAAAUUGAGGUUUCUAAGGCUAUUUCGGUAAUUAAAGAUUUAACUUGUCUAGUGGGAAAUUCGUCUAAAGCUUCAAUGCAGAAUGAUAUGUUGGAUACGCUAUAAAAUACUGUUAAUACAUUUGUAAAAUUGAUAUAAUUAUGUAAGAAUAGAAUCACUUAUAUUGGUUAUUUUCUUUAAUGAGAAAACAUAAUAAUUUAAAUUUCUAUUUUUAUUAGUAUUUACAAUGAAAAUUUGUGUAUAUAUUUAAAUUGUAUACAUAUGAAAAUAUAUUUAUAAAAAAAUAAUUUUAAAAGACAUCUGUGAAUAUGUAAAUUGAGUAUAUAUAAAUAUCAAUCACUAUAUAUAUAUAUAUAUAUAAAAUAAUAUAAUAGAUAAAUACUUUAAAAUUAUUAAACUCAACAUUCAUGCUAGAUGUUUAACAAAUUUGUUAUACUUUAAUGUACCAAAAAAUAAAUAUUAUGUAAAAAAAAAACUUACGAUGAAACAAUAUUAUUUCAAAAAUUUAUUUAAUAGUCUUAUAUUUUCUUUUGUGGAAAGAUAUCCAUGAAAUAUUUUAACAUCAACAAUUUCUACACUUAUCUCUCAAUUAACUUUGUUUACUACAGAUUACCUUUAAUCCUCUUUUUACAAUUUCCUUCAAAAUAACCGUAUAAACCUUUCUAAUUAUAAACACGAUAAGAUAAAUUUUGUAUAACUAUUAAAGUAAAGGAGUAAAAAAAAAUAAAAAUAAACUUUAGAAAAAAAAAUUUAAUUACUAUAUUAAUUAAUACUAUUUUAAAGACUAAAAUAAUUAUUGGUAUCUAAAAUAUUUUUUAUUAAUAAAAUUUAUAAAUUAAUUUUAAAAGUUAAACAUUUUUAAAAUCAUUUAAUUACAUAUUCAAUAUAAUUUUUUAAAUAGUUAUCAUAACAAUAAAUAAACUUAUCAUCUUAUUUGUAACUUAUCAUCACAUGAUUUGUGCUAAAUAUUUUUUCAGUUACUCAUACCUUCUGUCUUAAUUAUAAAUUUCCAUUCAAAGGUUCAUAAAUAUUUUAAAAUAUUAAAAUAUGAAAAAUAAUUUUAUUUUAAUUUUCAAAGUAAAUUUGUUAGCAACAUUAAUUCUGAAACUAAAUAUUUUAAACAGCGGUCCAUAUCAUUUGUAUAUUUUCUCAAACUUUUUUUUUCCUUCUAUUAGAAAAAAGCGGGUAUGUCAACAGUUUCUUCCUGAACUCUAUAUCUUCUUCUUCCAUCUUCAUAAAUUCUCUUAUUUUAAAAAAAAAUAUUUCUUUGUAAUACUUUCAAUUACUUAAUCUAAAAGUUUUUUUUAAAUUCUUAAUUAGUUUCGGAUUAUAUAAGUUUUGCAUGAUUAGUUUCUAUAUUAUAUAUUACAUAAUUCGAAAAAAAAUUUAAACUUCUGGAUUAUGUAAUCCAGAAUUUUUUUUUUCAAAUACGUAUCUAGAUUAUAUAAUCCGAAAACUGAAACAAGAAGAAUAAAAAUGUAUUUUCAAGUUUUAUAUGGGGAUGGCAGAAGAAUAUGGAGGUGCAGGAAGAAGGAGUCCAACAACAUUGGUCAAGCAGGCCCAAUAAAAUUGGGUUGGUUGGAUCUCAUGGGCCUAAUCCAACCCAAGAAAAUGAAACUAAAUUUUAAUGAAUAAAAAGGGAAGAAGAAACCCUAAGUCUAUUUUUUUGUUAUACACUCUCUUUCUUUCAUUCGCAUUCCGUCACAAAAAGUAGGGAGAAGAGAAUGAAGUUCAAUCCCAGGGUUUCCUCUAGCCGGCGCAAGAGCCGCAAGGCGCAUUUCACGGCGCCGUCGAGCGUCCGCCGCGUGCUUAUGAGCGCGCCGCUCUCCACCGAUCUCCGGUCGAAAUACAAUGUGCGUUCCAUUCCGGUUCGGAAGGACGAUGAGGUGCAAGUGGUGAGGGGAACCUACAAGGGCCGCGAAGGCAAGGUGGUGCAGGUCUAUCGCCGCAAGUGGGUCAUCCACAUCGAGCGAAUCACGCGCGAGAAGGUGAACGGCUCUACCGUCAACGUCGGCAUUCACCCUUCAAAGGUUGUCGUCACGAAGUUGCGAAUGGACAAGGACCGUAAAUCCUUGCUCGAUCGCAAGGCUAAGGGCCGCGCCGCCGCUGACAAAGAAAAGGGUACAAAGUUUGCUCCCGAGGAUAUCAUGCAGACUGUUGAUUAGUUUC